rnacentral:rRNA from 1 species
UACGAAGGGUGCAAGCGUUACUCGGAAUUACUGGGCGUAAAGGGCGCGUAGGCGGCCAGCGCAAGUCAGUUGUGAAAUCUCCGGGCUUAACUCGGAACGGUCAACUGAUACUGCGCGGCUAGAGUGCAGAAGGGGCAACUGGAAUUCUCGGUGUAGCGGUGAAAUGCGUAGAUAUCGAGAGGAACACCUGCGGCGAAGGCGGGUUGCUGGGCUGACACUGACGCUGAUGCGCGAAAGCAUGGGGAGCGAACAGG